AUGAGGCCACCGCUCGUCGCCUGCCUCGUCCUCCUCCUCCUCUCCGCGGCGGGGGCACCGCCGGCCGGCGCCAUCUGCGUGCCGCGCAAGCCCGGCGCGGGGGGCAAGGUCGGCCCUCUCCCUUCGCCGGCCAAGCCGACGCCGCCGCAAUCGAAGCCGACGCCGCCGAAGGCCACGCCGGUCGCCCCCGGCGGCGACAUCGUGAAGGCCCUGUGCGCCAAAACGGACUACCCAGACGUGUGCGUCGCUGCCAUCGGCAAGCAGACCCAGCCCGCAGGGAAGAAGCUGGACGGGCCCGGCGUGCUGGAGAUGGCCAUGGCCGCGGUGCGCGCCAAGGCGGCGGAGGCCAAGAAGGCGGCGGAAGCGCUCAUCGCCGACCCCAAGACGCCGAAGCUGGCGGUGGGCCCACUCCGCGACUGCGCCGACUCGUAUGACGACAUCCCCUACAGUCUCGACCACGCAGCGAAGGCCAUAGCCGCCACCGACAAGGACACCACCGGCACCAUGCUCGACACCUGCCGCACCGACGUCGACACGUGCGACCAGGGCUUCGAGGACCGCGAGGAGCUCCCGCGGCUCAUGUCCAAGUACGACGCCGAGCUCGCCAAGCUCGCCAGCAACUGCCUCGCCAUCGGCCAAGCCGUGGGCCUCCACCCGGGCUCCUGA
rnacentral:rRNA from 1 species